UGGUGUUACCUCCCUGGUGGUCAACUGCAACUGUGGUGUUACCUCCCUGGUGGUCAACUCCAGUAACUGGGGGUGUUACCUCCCUGGUGGUCAACUCCUGCAACUGAACGUAGUCUGUCUACGAAGCUGAGUCUGAAAUAAGGAGUGUGUGUUCACUUCAGCCAGAGUGCCUGGCUGGAGAUUGAGGUUCUGUGUGUUGCGGGAGGCUAUUAGGUCCACAUUCGUGGGACAUUCACCAUAUAUAACUCAAGAAAGUAAAAAAUAUUCCGCUUGACCUUGAAUAAAACUGAUUGCAUGGACCAGUUAUACUGAAGAAAUAGUGAACAUGGAAAUGCUGUUUUUUAUGAGAUAAUUUAUGAAUUCCUCAUACGACUGGCUUCAAACUCAUAUUUUGAUAAUUUGCCGAUAAUUUGAGAAUGCAUUUUCUGAGCGGCUUCAAACUUAAUGCUGAUGUAUUUUGGGAUAUCUAUUUCUGUGAGAUAAUUAGAGACAUCCUCAUCAGACCGGCUUUACACUUCGACAAUUACUGUGUUUUAAUGGGAUGUUCGAAGUGGUGUUGGGUUGUGUAGGCGAUAAUUUAUCAUUUUUGUUAAAGUAACUGGAGUAAUUUCCAAGUGAUAACUUGCUGAUAUAUAACUGCAGUAAAAUCUUAUGCUGCGCUCUGCACAAUGCUUUUUUGUGUAUUGAGUUAGAGGCGGCGGGGCUACGGAAUUGCUGUUCCCGGACUGACCGGCGGUUGAAACACAUCUCUUCCCUUAAGGGAAGUUCCUUGAUGCUGGUGAGGGGCUCUUGAUCUAAAGAAUUGGAUCUGUGCUCCGGUUCCCUGAAUUGAGUCUGAAUACCUUCCAUCCCCCCACAUGCGCUGUAUAAUCCUACAGGUUUAGCGCUCCCCCAUGAUUAUAAUAAUAAUUAAACCCAUCUCGUUCUGAUGUACGUUGGAAGACAGCCACUGAAUGACUGACGGUGAAUGUGGUUUCCUUAACUGGGUCAUCCUAAUUUGGUGAGAGACGGGCGAUGUAGUAGAGAGAAAAAAAUUACACGUCUGGAUUGUUUUGAACACAAGAUUUCGUAUAUAAUUCCUCUCCAUACCUCGGUGUUCUCAAUAGGCAAAUCUCUCUUACAAAAGGCUGUAGCAACCUGCAGGUAACUGACUUCUUUGUCAUAGGGGUAGAAAGCUCGACAAUAUAGAAAACAAAGGUUGUGCUAUUGUUUGUUUAUGGUAAAGGCUAAUUACAAACACAGGACUGUCGUUGUUUGUUCAUGUGCGCUUAUGAAUGAGGUCGUUUACCUUAUGGUUAGGCUGCUUGCAUAAAUCUGUACUUGAUAACCUUAACAUCUUUUCAAGAUGACCUUAACAGAUCAUAGCAGCAACAACAGAUUAUUAGCUCAGUUUUCCGUGAUCCAGGAAAUUAAAGUACAAGUCCCUUUCCUCCGAUCAAAUCUGAUUGCUUCCCAU